ensembl:lncRNA
GGGGGAGGGAGGGCCAGAGAGCCGAUGGGGGGAGGGAGGGCCAGAGACAUCCAGGCGAUGAGGGCGUGUCCACAGAGCCCAGCCGCGCUCCAGAGGCGGGCAGACCAAAGCAUGGCGAGCCACGCCCGGAUCACUCCAGGUCGGGGAGGAAAAAGAGACAGGCAGAGGAGAGGAGCAGCGAGUCCCUGAGGAAGGACGUUCCUCUGGACGGCCGGCACCUCGACUCCUCGCACAGGAGCGAGAACGCAAAGUCAGGGCAGGACGGAGACGACCCUAGGCACGGGGGUAAACCGAACGCCGUCGAGAAGGAAGCACCCCCCCGUGGAGCACCGACGGAGAACCCCCUCUGGGAAGGGGUGACGAAGGUGAGGAACCCCCAGAGGAAGACCAUCAGCAUCAACAUCAACCUUACCCAGCUGGAGGAGGUCCAGAAGGUGGCUGAGUCUCACCCGACGGCCGGCAGCUCGGUCGAAGAAGUGCGAAUGGACGCCGGAGAUGAAAACGAGGACACGCCCAUAGUGGAGGACGGGGAGGAAGUGGUGGACGACAACAGAGGAGUAAAACAACUGACCACCGUCCGGAGAGCCGCCGAGGCACCCGUUUGUGGAGGAGAGGCGAUGAAGAUGAUGGAGAAGAAGAGGAGCAGGAGAGCUGAUGGAGGAGUCGAGGGCAGGAGCGAGGAAGAGGCGGGGUGAGGAGCACGGGGAGGUGGGCGCGGAGAGGACCAAAGCCCCUGGAAGAAGAAGCCAAAGCACCUCAGCUCCCGGGGAAACGCCAAUCCAUGCUAGGAGGGAUCGAAGCGAGGGCCGCCAGGACAGGAAGAGGAAGACCCUGGAGAACCACAGUAGCCAGGACGGCUUCCUCCACCCCGAGGACACGGCGGCCCCCGUGAAGGUCCGCUCCAGGUGGGCGCCGCUGGAGGCGGGGGACGAGGCCCCCAGGGGAAGGAGGAGCCGGCGUCCGCGAGGCUCGUCU